UGCAGGUGUACAGCCACUUCCCCAGCUGGCCCUGCACCCUGGCUGCUUCUGUUCUCUGUUGAACGCGCACGAUCUGGGGUUCCUGCCCCUUCCUGAGGUAGGACACGUGUUUGACAAGAUGUAUUUGAGCAGCAUGUUCCAAGGACAUUCUCCCGGACUGGGGGAGGUGGAAUGUCUUUGUUCCUGAAAAUUAAGAAAUAAUGCCGCUCUAACUUGGCAGGAGGAGGCAGAGGGCAGCGACCAAGGACGAGGGGAUCAAGACUUAUGUUGCAAAGCGAAGACAUGCAUACGAUGCCUCAGCAAUCACAUGCAAGAAAAGUCUCUACCAAAUCCCAGACAAGGGCCAUAUGCCUGUGAGUUGCUGCCCAGGAACAUGGGCUAAAAUGAGAUUUUUCUCACCCUUACUCCCAAGUCCUGCAACAUUUUCUAAAUAUACCUAACUCCAUAGCACAAGUGAGUGCUAAUCUUAGCCUCUACGAAGUGAUGAACGUGGAUAUCCAGCAUCUCUUCUUUAGCAAUUCGUAAUUCCCAGGUACAAAUAAAUCUGUGACCAACAAAACUGUCCUUAUGUUUUCCCGGUGAUCCUUCAGGAAUCCGUGUAUUUUAAAAUCCAGGUCUUGCUUCUGCAUAACUAUCCACAGAUAAUUUGUGGUUUGACUGUGGAGGGUUCUGUGUAAUAUCCAAAGGUUCCAAGAAGUUAUUUUUUCUGCACCCAUGAAAAGUUAGGUGGCAAAACAAAGCCCACCAGGAGACUGAAGCCGGCUGCCAGCCAACUGAAAUCAGCCACUGCCUGGGGCUCAGAGCCCUCCUCAUCAACCUAACCUCACCUGCUCCACUCCCUGGACUGGUCUUAGAUUUUCCAUCUGGAAUCGCUGUCUUCCUGCCUAAAGCAAGUACAUCCUUUGCAAUGUUCUAUGGGCUGUCUUCUCACUUGUGACAGACUAAGGCUCCCACUGACAUCACUGAUGACAGAUAGCCCCUGACACAAAAAGCCACGUAAUUUGUUUUCCUAAGUCUUGCAUGAAGACAUCUGAGGAGACCACAGGGGUGAAGACUCUGGAGAGACACACUGGUUAGAAGUUUAUUAUCACAAAGACAAGGAAAACAGGGAUGAGGGAGAAAGAUUCCUAAAAAUUAUUAGAGUAGUAUCAUAUGAUGCAACAAUUCCACUUCUGGGCUAUUUAUCCAAGAGAUAUGAACACAUGAAUGUGUAAAGAGAUAGCACCCCUAUAUUCAUCGCAGUACUAUUCACCACUGCCGAGAUAAGGAAAUAAACUAAGUGCCCACUGAGGGAUGAGCAGAUGAAGAGGCACAGAUACAACUAUGAGAAGAGAUGACGUGCUGGUAUUUGCAGCAAUAUUGAUGAACCGAGACGGGGUUAUGCUUAGUGAGACAAGUGAGACAGUAAAACAAAA